rnacentral:lncRNA from 1 species
GCCGGACUUAUAUUACAUAUCCUCAUCCAUUUGGACCCGUGCGCAUACUGUAUAUAUACGCGCAGAAACAUUCCUGUAAUUAGUCAGGCUUGGCUACACACGAGCGUCGGGUUGUUACACACAGUGUUGUGAGAUUACCGCGUGGACGGAGAGUUCGGUAUCCUCAUAAACAAACAUUUGUGUCGGUGUAGAGGACAGUGACAGAGUGCGAGUCCUCUGAUUCAAUUAGGAUCCUGACGCCCGGAAAAUAAACCGAGUGAUUUGGAGUCCACUUUUCACUGAAUUGUGUGAUGAUGUAAUUAUUUGUUUCUGUAUAAUGAAGCGGUGGUCAUUUCACAUGCAGGAUGAUGUCGGUGAAUCUGCAGCGAGGCCUUUCUUAAUCCAUACGACCUGCACCGCGGUGACGCUCCCUGGCGCGUAAAGGGUCCUUUCAUGAAAACACAAUUUGGAACAUGAUUGAAAAAGAGCUGAUAUCUUCUACGAAGGUUGUGGGACUCGACGGUGGAUCGACUGUGGUGAUGGCAGGCGUGAAAACAUCUCAGUUGAAAAGUAAGAACCUACUUGUGUCUUUUUUUGAGAAACUGUCUCUUCUGUGUUUGCAUGGGCGUUACUCUGUUUCCAGAGGGACAGAACUUUAAGUUAGAAAUUGUAUUACUCUUUAUAAGUCGCAGUGCAGAAACUGCUGGUAAUCUAGAUACAUAAUCAAUAACACAUCACACUGCAACCACAGAGCUUACAGAAAUAACAAAACAAAUUCCAAGUAAAUUUAUUUUUCUAGAUUUCUUUUCCCCCUCCAAUUUUAUAACUUAAAAUUUUAAUAAAUUAAAAGCCCAAACCAACUGUGUAAUCAAUGAUGUAACUGUGCCUUUGG